rnacentral:rRNA from 1 species
GAUGAACGCUGGCGGCGUGCCUAAUACAUGCAAGUCGAGCGAACAGACGAGGAGCUUGCUCCUUUGACGUUAGCGGCGGACGGGUGAGUAACACGUGGGUAACCUACCUAUAAGACUGGGAUAACUUCGGGAAACCGAAGCUAAUACCGGAUAAUAUUUCGAACCGCAUGGUUCGAUAGUGAAAGAUGGCUUUGCUAUCACUUAUAGAUGGACCUGCGCCGUAUUAGCUAGUUGGUAAGGUAACGGCUUACCAAGGCAACGAUACGUAGCCGACCUGAGAGGGUGAUCGGCCACACUGGAACUGAGACACGGUCCAGACUCCUACGGGAGGCAGCAGUAGGGAAUCUUCCGCAAUGGGCGAAAGCCUGACGGAGCAACGCCGCGUGAGUGAUGAAGGUCUUCGGAUCGUAAAACUCUGUUAUUAGGGAAGAACAAACGUGUAAGUAACUGUGCACGUCUUGACGGUACCUAAUCAGAAAGCCACGGCUAACUACGUGCCAGCAGCCGCGGUAAUACGUAGGUGGCAAGCGUUAUCCGGAAUUAUUGGGCGUAAAGCGCGCGUAGGCGGUUUUUUAAGUCUGAUGUGAAAGCCCACGGCUCAACCGUGGAGGGUCAUUGGAAACUGGAAAACUUGAGUGCAGAAGAGGAAAGUGGAAUUCCAUGUGUAGCGGUGAAAUGCGCAGAGAUAUGGAGGAACACCAGUGGCGAAGGCGACUUUCUGGUCUGUAACUGACGCUGAUGUGCGAAAGCGUGGGGAUCAAACAGGAUUAGAUACCCUGGUAGUCCACGCCGUAAACGAUGAGUGCUAAGUGUUAGGGGGUUUCCGCCCCUUAGUGCUGCAGCUAACGCAUUAAGCACUCCGCCUGGGGAGUACGACCGCAAGGUUGAAACUCAAAGGAGUUGACGGGGACCCGCACAAGCGGUGGAGCAUGUGGUUUAAUUCGAAGCAACGCGAAGAACCUUACCAAAUCUUGACAUCCUUUGACCCUUCUAGAGAUAGAAGUUUCCCCUUCGGGGGACAAAGUGACAGGUGGUGCAUGGUUGUCGUCAGCUCGUGUCGUGAGAUGUUGGGUUAAGUCCCGCAACGAGCGCAACCCUUAAGCUUAGUUGCCAUCAUUAAGUUGGGCACUCUAAGUUGUCUGCCGGUGACAAACCGGAGGAAGGUGGGGAUGACGUCAAAUCAUCAUGCCCCUUAUGAUUUGGGCUACACACGUGCUACAAUGGACAAUACAAAGGGCAGCGAAACCGCGAGAUCAAGCAAAUCCCAUAAAGUUGUUCUCAGUUCGGAUUGUAGUCUGCAACUCGACUACAUGAAGCUGGAAUCGCUAGUAAUCGUAGAUCAGCGUGCUACGGUGAAUACGUUCCCGGGUCU